CAGAGUUGUUCUUCCUCCAUAUGUUACAUAGAUAAGCUUUGCCAAGAUAAUGAUGAGUUUUUAACUUGAAGAUAAACAACUCUCCCACAGUAAGCAAAUAAAUCCUUGACACCAUUCUCUCAACUUUACUCCUUGGUAGCAGGAAUGCUGGAGAAGGCAAUGGCACCCCACUCCAGUACUCUUGCCUGGAAAAUCCCAUGGAUGGAGGAGCCUGGAAGGCUACAGUUCAUGGGGUCACAAAGAGUCGAACACAACUGACUGACUCACCACAGCAGUAAUGCCACGUCACACAGGCAGAAUCUUUUUUUCCUGGGUUCAUCUUAAAUAAUUCAAGAAGCAGAGGCUGGUGGACAUGGUGGAAAGCCACAGCCUGGCACAGGGCGACUCCCUGCAACGGAGAUCUGGUCAACCAGCAGCAUGUUAAGGGACAGUAUCUUCUGGAAAGGAAAAGCGUUCACAGCGCCACCCAGUGGACAAUGUACUCUUGCCCAAACCACAUCUCUGAAGAGCUUGCAUUCCCUCACCCUAUUUACUGAAGACGGCUUCCCUGAUCAGUUGGUCAAGAAUCCACCUGCAAUGCAGGAGACCCUGUUUCGAUUCCUGGGUCAGGGAGAUCCAUGGAGAAGCGAUAAACUACCCACUCCAGUAUUCUUGGGCUUCCCUUGUGGCUCAGC